rnacentral:rRNA from 1 species
UACGUAGGAGGCAAGCGUUGUCCGGAAUUACUGGGCGUAAAGCGCGUGUAGGUGGUGGGACAAGUCUGCUGUGAAAGCGCCUGGCUUAACCGGGCGAGGUCGGCGGAAACUGUUCGACUCGAGGACGGUAGAGGGGGGUGGAAUUCCCGGUGUAGUGGUGAAAUGCGUAGAGAUCGGGAGGAACACCGGUGGCGAAGGCGGCAUCCUGGACCAACACUGACGCUGAGUGAGCGAAAGCCAGGGGAGCAAACGGG